AUCGAUGAAGAACGCAGCGAAAUGCGAUAAGUAAUGUGAAUUGCAGAAUUCAGUGAAUCAUCGAAUCUUUGAACGCACAUUGCGCCCUCUGGUAUUCCGGAGGGCAUGCCUGUUCGAGCGUCAUUUGCUAAACUCAAGCCUACUUGUAGGCCUGGUCUUGGGUGCUGUCCUCUCUGAGGACACACCUCAAAUGCAACGGCGACACUGCCUGGCUUCAAGCGUCUAGGAAACUUCAUCGCUUCUGUCCAGAUAAAUGUCUGCCUCUCAACCCCAAUAUUCUUUCUGGGUUGACCUCGGAUCAGGUAGGGAUACCCGCUGAACUUAAGCAUAUCAAUAAGCGGAGGAAAAGAAACCAACAGGGAUUGCCUCAGUAACGGCGAGUGAAGCGGCAACAGCUCAAAUUUGAAAUCUGGGUCUUUCAGGCUCCGAGUUGUAAUUUGUAGAGGGAUCUUCGGGUGUGGUCCGGCCUAAGUUUCAUGGAACUGAACAUCAUAGAGGGUGAGAAUCCCGUAUGCGGCCGGGUGCCUAUAUCCAUGUGAAGUCUCUUCGACGAGUCGAGUUGUUUGGGAAUGCAGCUCAAAAUGGGUGGUAAAUUUCAUCUAAAGCUAAAUACCGGCGAGAGACCGAUAGCGCACAAGUAGAGUGAUCGAAAGAUGAAAAGCACUUUGGAAAGAGAGUUAAACAGUACGUGAAAUUGUUGAAAGGGAAGCGCUUGCAACCAGACUUGCACGCAGUUGAUCAUCCGGUGUUCUCACCGGUGCACUCGAUUGUGUUCAGGCCAGCAUCGGUUUUGGUGGUGGGAUAAAGGCCUUGGGAAUGUAGCUUCUUUCGGGGAGUGUUAUAGCCCUCGGUGCAAUGCCGCCUACUGGGACCGAGGACCGCGCUUCGGCUAGGAUGCUGGCGUAAUGGUUGUAAGCGACCCGUCUU
rnacentral:rRNA from 1 species